GACGAACGCUGGCGGCGUGCCUAAUACAUGCAAGUAGAACGCUGAAGGAGGAGCUUGCUUCUCUGGAUGAGUUGCGAACGGGUGAGUAACGCGUAUGUAACCUGCCUGUUAGCGGGGGAUAACUAUUGGAAACGAUAGCUAAUACCGCAUAAGAGUAGAUGUUGCAUGACAUUUGCUUAAAAGGUGCAAUUGCAUCACUACCAGAUGGACCUGCGUUGUAUUAGCUAGUUGGUGGUGUAACGGCUCACCAAGGCGACGAUACAUAGCCGACCUGAGAGGGGGAUCGGCCACACUGGGACUGAGAAACGGGCCAGACUCCUAAGGGAGGGAGCAGUAGGGAAUCUUCGGGAAUGGACGGAAGUCUGAACGGGCAAAGCCGCGGGAGUGAAGAAGGUUUUCGGAUCGUAAAGAUCUGGUGUAAGAGAAGAAAGAGUGUGAGAGUGGAAAGUUCACACUGUGACGGUAUCUUACCAGAAAGGGACGGCUAACUACGUG
rnacentral:rRNA from 1 species